rnacentral:misc_RNA from 1 species
UUUCCGUAGGUGAACCUGCGGAAGGAUCAUUACUGAGUGAGGGCCCUCUGGGUCCAACCUCCCACCCGUGUUUAUUAUACCUUGUUGCUUCGGUGAGCCCGCCUCACGGCCGCCGGGGGGCAUCUGCCCCCGGGCCCGCGCCCACCGAAGACACCUAGAACUCUGUAUGAAGAUCGCAGUCUGAACAAAAACUAAAUAGGUUAAAACUUUCAACAACGGAUCUCUUGGUUCCG